UACAGAGGUCUCAAGCGUUGUUCGGAAUCACUGGGCAUAAAGCGCACGUAGGCGGCCAAGUCAGUCAGGUGUGAAAUCCCUCGGCUCAACCGAGGAACUGCGCCUGAUACUGCUUGGCUUGAGGUCCGGAGGGGAGAGUGGAAUUCCCGGUGGAGCGGUGAAAUGCGUAGAGAUCGGGAAGAACGCCGGCGGCGAAAGCGACUCUCUGGUCGGAAUCUGACGCUGAGGUGCGAAAGCUAGGGGAGCAAACGGG
rnacentral:rRNA from 1 species